GGAUGUGAGGGUGAUCUGGCUGCGACAUCUCUCACCCCACUGAUCUCCAGGGUUGAUUCAUCUGAUCGGGCUGGAUAGGAGGGUUCUCCUUCCUCCCUCACUGCUCCACGUGCGUCCCUCCUGAAGCUACAUGCUCAGUGGAAGAGAACGGCCUUCCCCAAAUAGAGACCCUUUGGUUGAGGGUAUAUGAGUAGCUGUGCUCCCCUGCUAGAACUUCCAAACAAGAUCUCAAGGUCCAUUUUUAUUUUUAUUUUUUAAGGAAACUUUUACUUUUUUUCUUUUUUGUUUUUAUUA
rnacentral:snRNA from 1 species